rnacentral:rRNA from 1 species
UACGUAGGGGGCUAGCGUUGUCCGGAUUUAUUGGGCGUAAAGAGCUCGUAGGCGGCAUGGCAAGUCAGGAGUGAAGGGCCUGGGCUCAACCGAGGAACUGCUUUUGAUACUGCCAAGCUAGAGUGCGGAAGGGGCAACUGGAAUUCCCAGUGUAGCGGUGAAAUGCGUAGAUAUUGGGAAGAACACCUGAGGCGAAGGCGGGUUGCUGGGCCGACACUGACGCUGAGGCGCGAAAGCCAGGGGAGCGAACGGG